rnacentral:rRNA from 1 species
UACGAACGCUGGCGGCGUACCUAAUACAUGCAAGUCGAGCUAACUGAUGGGAGCUUGCUCCCUGAGAUUAGCGGCGGAAGGGUGAGUAACACGUGGGCAACCUGCCUAUAAGACUGGGAUAACUUCGGGAAACCGGAGCUAAUGCCGGAUACGUUCUUUUCUCGCAUGAGAGAAGAUGGAAAGACGGUUUACCCUGUCACUUAUAGAUGGGCCCGCGCCGCAUUAGCUAGUUGGUGAGGUAAUGGCUCACCAAGGCGAGGAUGUGUAGCCGACCUCAGAGAGUGAUCGGCCACACAGGGACUGAGACACGGCCCAGACUCCUACGGGAGGCAGCAGCAGGGAAUCUUUCGCAAUGGACGAAAGUCUUACGGAGCAACGCCGCGUGAACGAAGAAGGCCUUCGGGUCGUAAAGUUCUGUUGUUAGGGAAGAACAAGUACCAGAGUAACUGUUGGUACCUUGACGGUACCUAACCAGAAAGCCAAGGCUCACUACGUGCCAGCAGCCGCGGUAAUACGUAGGUGGCAAGCGUUGUCCGGAACUAUUGGGCGUAAAGAGCGCGCAGGUGGUUCCUUAAGUCUGAUGUGAAAG